rnacentral:rRNA from 1 species
UACGUAGGGGGCUAGCGUUGUCCGGAAUCAUUGGGCGUAAAGAGCGUGUAGGCGGUCCGGUAAGUCCGCUGUGAAAGUCGGGGGCUCAACCCUCGAAUGCCGGUGGAUACUGUCGGGCUAGAGUGCGGAAGAGGCGAGUGGAAUUCCAGGUGUAGCGGUGAAAUGCGUAGAUAUCUGGAGGAACACCGGUGGCGAAGGCGGCAUCCUGGACCGGCAUUGACGCUGAGGCGCGAAAGCUAGGGGAGCAAACGGG